rnacentral:lncRNA from 1 species
UCCCAUGCAUUUGGCCAGAUUACAAGGACUCUUCGUAUUCUAGGGUUCUUGGGCUCUAGAGUGGAGGACAAUCUAGCGCUACCGAGCUAGAGUUUGCCGAGCUAGCCGAGGUAAGAGAGCUCUAAGAUCUCCUUUGCUAGAGCAAUUCCGUACGCAAGUUUUUUCUCUGAGUAAUUUCUUGGAUGACAAUGGGCUUGGAUCUCUAGUGGCCGCAUUUUCACGAAUGAGAGGUAAAUCGCUAUAUAAUCUCCCCCUGCUGAUAGAUUUCUCUUGCAGGGCGUGAGUUUCUUUUGAGCAGGAACUUCGAAGGAAUACAAAAGAAGAAAAAUUCUUUGCGAUCAACAGAGAAGCCGCCUAGUUCUCCUGGAAGACAUGUCCGACCUCAUCCUCUUGCAAAGCUUCUCCAGCUCCGACACCUUGGCCUGCAUCUUGUUGAUAUCCGACUUGAGCUCUUCGUUUUGGCGGAUGAUCAGUCCAAACUCGGGCGAUGGCUGAUCGACAGCGCUAGGAGCGGCGGAAGGAUGAUUCACCGCAGGUACUGGUGCUUCUUUGUAUCUCGAGCUGUCACUCACUCUCAGUCCUUCCUUGAAGAAGCAGUGAUCGAUGGUGUCUCUGAGCUUGGCUUGCUGGAGAAGAAGAAUCUGGAGUGCCAGUCGUGCUGGGAACCGUGGGUUUUGCGCAGCAUGCUUGCAUCCCUCGAACGACAGCUUCUGGUAAUUCACCACCUUGCAAAGUUCCAUGGUUUCGGACUCCGAGACUGCUGGAUGUGCCUGAUCCAUGCAACAAACGUUCCAUGGAUGAGCGAGCUUUUAGUUGCAAAGUCUCUUCUUCUAACGUGAGUUUGCAACAGGAAAGAAGAACACUUACCUGCAGAUACAAAUCCAAAGCUCGGUAGAGCCCGUCGUGCAUGAGCCUGGCCGAGUCCGGCAGUGCUUUGGCCACUGACUUGAACUUGAAAGGCUUAAGCUGUGGAUCCGCUGCGAUCUCCACCAGGUAUUUAUCAAUCAGAUCCGCAACUUUUGUCAGCGAGUGCUCGAACUUUGUCAGGGCCCUACGGAAGGACGUUCCUGACGGUGGCUGAGAAGCCAUGAUGGGACCGUUGAUUGGAGUUGGGAAAGUCAUCUCCGAGAAG